AUGGACGAUUUUUCGGUCUAUGGCCCCUCUUUCUCCUCAUGUUUGUUGAAUCUUGGCAGGGUAUUGACCAGGUGCAAAGAGACAAAUCUUGUUCACAAUUGGGAAAAGUGUCAUUUCAUGGUGAAGGAAGGCAUAGUGUUAGUUCACAAGAUAUCAGAGAAGGGUAUAGAGGUUGACAAAGGAAAAAUUGAAGUGAUGUUGUAGUUGCAGGCACC
rnacentral:sRNA from 1 species